UACGGGGGGGGUAAGCGUUGUUCGGAAUUAUUGGGCGUAAAGGGCGCGUAGGCGGCUUUGCAAGUGACGGGUGAAAUCCCUCGGCUUAACCGAGGAACUGCCUGUCAAACUGCAUGGCUUGAGACCGGGAGAGGUGAGUGGAAUUCCCAGUGUAGCGGUGAAAUGCGUAGAUAUUGGGAGGAACACCAGUGGCGAAGGCGGCUCACUGGACCGGUACUGACGCUGAUGCGCGAAAGCGCGGGGAGCAAACAGG
rnacentral:rRNA from 1 species